GUGGAGGUGGGUUUCAGACAAACAACUCCUGGGUCCCGAGCAGACCCAGGGACAGCUUAACCCUGACUGCCUUUUGUCGCUGACGCGACACACACAGGCAACACAGGGUUUACUUUGUCUGGUUCUCUGUUUUCUUGUCCUUCAGAAAUGACUGCUAAUUCUGACCGGUCACCCUCGUGGAGUCGUUUUAGAUUGAUUCUGUGAAGCUAACAGACAAGGUUAGGCUGUGCCACUCAGCGGAGCUGCCGGGGAGAACUUGCUAGAACCGCUAAAGACUGUUAGGGUGAUGGGUCAACCGUGGCCGUGGAGCGUGACAAGUCAGCAGAGCUGGGGCCGGGGGCUCUCUGAAGUCCUCGGGGCCCUCGAGGUGAAGGCAGCGCAGCCUGUGUCCCAUGCGCUUGGAUCGCUAAGCACAAUCUGCACUCCCCAAGGCCUUUCCAUGAACAAGAGCUGGCUCCCGUCACUUCUCUUCAAAGCUGCACGAGGUGUGAUGGAGCCUGAGGCAUCUCUCCCUGCUAUCUCUGCCCACCAAGCAUGUUAUAUCUGAUGCCAGCACACCAAGAGCUCCAGAGACCACAAUGACUGGGCCGAGCACAAGAACAGCCUUCCCAAAUGCAGUUUCUACCACCAGCUGAUGAUGGAUCCUUGGCCCCUGGAGUCUUCCUUUCAGACCACCUGGGGCUGAGGACGGGACCUGAGUAUGAGAGAAGCCCUGGGAAAUGGGUCUCCUGAACAGCCCAGAUUCUGUCAUCCUUGGAUACCGAGGCCCUAGAGGGAAUGAAACACAAGGGUGGUACACAUGCGCAGCACUCAGGAGUGGCAGCUGUGGCUGUCUGCCCAGGUUCCAGCUUUCAGCCCUGAGAUAUUCACUUCUCCAGGUGUUGGGCGAGUUCAUGGCUCACAGCUCUCACCUCCAUGAUGAAGGGCGCUAUUUUCUCUCACCACCGUUAGUUAAGAUGGCAGCUUGGACAGAGAAACUGAGGUGGGUUCCAGCUCGACCUCUCAGGUUCCAAUUUGUCCUGCUUUCCCCCCUUCACUUCCAUCUUCUCUCUCGGCUGCCUGUCUUUCAAACUUCAGGCUCUAGCAUCAAAAAGAAACAACAAUCUCACAUGAACUACAUAAAAGUCUCCACAAUAGCAUAAAGUCAAAUGCCUUUAAUAAAUAUCUCAUCUAGCCAGCUCCUUCUUUUUAAUGACCUCAACUAUAAAUGUUGUCUAUGUAUCUAUGAAUUCAUCCUCCCUCCUUCUAUCCACAUAUCCAUCCUAGAGCUUCAUCUUCUGUGAUCAAACUCUGGUUAACAUACUCAUGUACAGUAAGUCGCCUACAUACGAGCCUUUAAAUUACGAGCUUCCAAAGAUGCUAACGUGUGUUUGCAUGUGCAGGCACGUAAGCUAGUUCACAUGACUGGUGUACACUGUCACAUAUGUGCAUCCUCUACAAGUGGCUGUGCUUUUGUGUACUAUACUUCAGUCCAGUCUCUCAGUCAUGUCCGACUCUGU